rnacentral:rRNA from 1 species
GGGGAAUAUUGGACAAUGGGCGAAAGCCUGAUCCAGCAACGCCGCGUGAGGGAUGACGGCCUUCGGGUUGUAAACCUCUUUCAGCACCGACGAAGCGAGAGUGACGGUAGGUGCAGAAGAAGGACCGGCCAACUACGUGCCAGCAGCCGCGGUAAUACGUAGGGUCCGAGCGUUGUCCGGAAUUAUUGGGCGUAAAGGGCUCGUAGGCGGUUUGUCGCGUCGGGAGUGAAAACUCAGGGCUUAACUCUGAGCGUGCUUUCGAUACGGGCAGACUUGAGGGAUGCAGGGGAGAAUGGAAUUCCUGGUGUAGCGGUGGAAUGCGCAGAUAUCAGGAGGAACACCGGUGGCGAAGGCGGUUCUCUGGGCAUUUCCUGACGCUGAGGAGCGAAAGCAUGGGGAGCGAAC